CUACGGGUGGCUGCAGUGGGGAAUAUUGGACAAUGGGCGAAAGCCUGAUCCAGCCAUGCCGCGUGUGUGAAGAAGGCCUUCGGGUUGUAAAGCACUUUCAGUGGGGAAGAAAGCCUUGGGGCUAAUACCCUCGAGGAAGGACAUCACCCACAGAAGAAGCACCGGCUAACUCCGUGCCAGCAGCCGCGGUAAUACGGAGGGUGCGAGCGUUAAUCGGAAUUACUGGGCGUAAAGCGCGCGUAGGCGGUCUGAUAAGCCGGUUGUGAAAGCCCCGGGCUCAACCUGGGAACGGCAUCCGGAACUGGCAGGCUAGAGUGCAGGAGAGGAAGGUAGAAUUCCCGGUGUAGCGGUGAAAUGCGUAGAGAUCGGGAGGAAUACCAGUGGCGAAGGCGGCCUUCUGGACUGACACUGACGCUGAGGUGCGAAAGCGUGGGUAGCAAACAGGAUUAGAUACCCUGGUAGUC
rnacentral:rRNA from 1 species